rnacentral:sRNA from 1 species
CCUGCUAUAAAAGAAACAAUGUUUGUAGGGAAUUUGUACACCAGUCUUCGGAGCUUCAAAACAACAUCCUGUGAUUUACCUAGAACAAGUAAGACAAAAUAAAAAUGUUGAACGUUGUCAGCCUUGUCGUCAUGAGUCUCGCUAUUGGAUCAGUCUUGUGCUUUACAAGAAAUCCCAGAGAGGCUGAAACUGAAGAAAACUUUGCCAGGCGUCUUUCCAUGAAUCUGCCCCAACAAGCUGUGCGAACAGCGACUGGUAUUGUUGGUAGUCUUCCAAUCGUAGGAGGUAUAGCAAGGAACUCUGUCGGCGGUACGGUUGCAAAUCUUCCAGUUGAUAAUCUCCCGAGUAUUCCGAUCAGUGCACUCCAAAGUCUAUUCGGUGGAAUACCUAUUGCCGGUGGACUCGGAGGUACUUUGCUAGGCACUGUUCAAGGUUUCACUGAUGGAAGUGGAGCCUUUUCUAACAGCUUGGGAUAUUGAGGAAUGAAAAAUAAAUGAAAGUAUUUUAACAUACAAACCGUAUAGCGACGCAAUUGACUUGAUGAACAAAAUAUAAUAAAAAAAAGUGAAAUAUA